rnacentral:rRNA from 1 species
GUGCCAGCAGCCGCGGUAAUACGUAGGUGGCAAGCGUUAUCCGGAAUUAUUGGGCGUAAAGCGCGCGCAGGCGGUUUUUUAAGUCUGAUGUGAAAGCCCCCGGCUCAACCGGGGAGGGUCAUUGGAAACUGGGAAACUUGAGUGCAGAAGAGAAGAGUGGAAUUCCACGUGUAGCGGUGAAAUGCGUAGAGAUGUGGAGGAACACCAGUGGCGAAGGCGACUCUUUGGUCUGUAACUGACGCUGAGGCGCGAAAGCGUGGGGAGCAAACAGGAUUAGAUACCCUGGUAGUCC